rnacentral:rRNA from 1 species
GUAGUCAUUGCUUGUCUCAAAGAUUAAGCCAUGCAAGUCUAGUUUAAGCACAUAAACGGCGAAACUGCGAAUGGCUCAUUAAAUCAGUUAUCGUAUAUUUGAUAGUACCUACUACAUGGAUAACCGUGGUAAUUCUAGAGCUAAUACAUGCUUAAAAUCCCGACUUCGGAAGGGAUGUAUUUAUUAGAUUAAAAACCAAUGCCCUUCGGGGCUCACUGGUGAUUCAUAAUAACUUCUCGAAUCGCAUGGCCUUGCGCCGGCGAUGGUUCAUUCAAAUUUCUGCCCUAUCAACUUUCGACGGCUGGGUCUUGGCCAGCCGUGGUUACAACGGGUAACGGGGAAUGGGGCGGGGGCGGCGGGCCGGGCGCGGGGCGCGGCGGGCGAGUUCUUUUCCUUUUCCCCGGGGCCCAGCCUAAAAUGGAUGUGGAAAUUUAAUUUCUCGCGCC